GAUGAACGCUGGCGGCAGGCCUAACACAUGCAAGUCGAGCGCGCCUUUCGGGGUGAGCGGCGGACGGGUUAGUAACGCGUGGGAAUAUACCCUUUGGUACGGAAUAGCCUCUGGAAACGGAGAGUAAUACCGUAUGUGCCCUUCGGGGGAAAGAUUUAUCGCCAAAGGAUUAGCCGCGUUAGAUUAGGUAGUUGGUGGGGUAAUGGCCUACCAAGCCUACGAUCUAUAGCUGGUUUUAG
rnacentral:rRNA from 1 species